AGGCAUGAAUAGCACAAUAAAACAGCAGUUGGGGAACUAUAAGGAGCCUUUAAAUUGACUUUUUUUUUCCUCUUCCCACAGAGAUACUCUAUUAUAGCAAAGAAGAAAGAUAAUUUCAUUGAGCCAUCCUGUUUUACAGCACCCAACAGAAUCCCUUCAAAGCCUCGUGGUCUGACACCCUAUGCUACGUGACUUGUGACCCAUCCAUUUGUCAUGUUCUUCGGGAAUGUGGCUAAGGGGCUAAGAUGUGACUUGAAAAGAAAGGUAGAACAAGAUCAUCUCAAAUUUAUUAUCAAGGAAUAGUUCAGAAAACGACUUCAGACCACAGAGACAGCAGAACAGAUGGUCCGGCAUGGAUAGAGCAUCAGACACUCACAGACUGUGCCAACAAGAGCCAUCGAGUCAAAACAGCCAAAGGAAGGAGGGUCAUGGAAUGGGUUCUCUCACACCAAACUGAUGCCCAGAGGCCCUCAGCAUGAAUAACAAAGGCAACCAGACCCACAAGCCAUACUGAGUGGAUACAAAACCUAUACCUAGGCUGACAUCCCAAAUGUGUGUGGCAAGUUAGAUGAUGAUGGCACAAAAGACAGAACACCUUGCUUCUGGCCAUUGUCAGCUCUUGGAAGAGAGCACACUUUUAGAGGAGCAGCUGCAAGGAGCCUGAGAACAAAACUGGAAAUGUCUGUUAUGAAAGCCUUCACAGGAAAUUCUGCAAGUGGCAACGUGGGUCCAUUCCGUGUGUGUCACUAGAGCUGGCGCAAGCCCAUGGCCAUGGUGAGGCAGCGUUUCCACUGGAACUAAUCUGAUACCUGCACCAGCUCUUGCAACUGUGCAGUGUUCCCACUGCAAACUACGGAUGGGGUAAAAGACUGCUCACCUCCUAUUUCUCAUCUAAUCUCACACACUCUGUUUGAUGAGGCUAUGGAGAAACAGGUCUUCUCAUACACUAAAGGUGGGAGUACAAACAAUUCAAGCCCUGUGCAGGACAAUUAGGCAAUACCUAUCAAAAUUAUACAUGAUUUUUCCUGCUGACCCAGCAAUUCCAC
rnacentral:lncRNA from 10 species